rnacentral:lncRNA from 1 species
CUGGACAAGAUUGGUCACAAUUCUGCCAAUGGUUCAUUGAACAAUCUAAAGGGAAAUCUCUCCGAGCUCACACAUUCAAGAUGACAAUAACAGAAAUGUUCUAUGGAUUAUGGUUAGAAAAGAAUGCGAGAAUCUUUGAAAACAUCUAUUGUAAUUGUGAUAAGCUCCUAAGUAUUAUAGCCUAUAUAUGUAAUGUUCGAGCUCCUCCUAGGCUUAGUUCAUAUACUCAGCAUUUCAUGUUAUAAAUGCUGAUUUGGCUAGAGUAGUAUAGAUAAUUCAUGUUCCAUUUUGAUAGGCAGUUGAGCUAAAAACUGUCCUAUGAUUUUGUAAGGUAACCAUUUGGUGAUUAAUACAAUUUUAAUUA